UAGGGAAUCUUCCACAAUGGACGAAAGUCUGAUGGAACAACGCCGCGUGAGUGAAGAAGGGUUUCGGCUCGUAAAACUCUGUUGUUAAAGAAGAACAUAUCUGAGAGUAACUGUUCAGGUAUUGACGGUAUUUAACCAGAAAGCCACGGCUAACUACGUGCCGG
rnacentral:rRNA from 1 species